rnacentral:misc_RNA from 1 species
GUGCUCGCAAGCUGGUCAAUUACUAGAAUUUGGUUGAUAGGAGCCUUGAGAUUUUCAUUGCCAGAUUUAAGGACUUUGUCUUCAAGUGUUUGGAUUUCAUGGAUUCUCAGUUGUUGCUAAGCUUAGUGUUGUUGUUUGGAGCCUCUAGUCUUCUUAUAAUUUGUUACCAUGGCAACAGAAACACUCUUUGCCUGAAGAUGUUGUGUCUAUAGCAGUUGGUUUAUUAGCAGAUUAGCAAUCAGCUCAAGAUCAACAUGAGAGUUGAGGUACGAGUAGAAGCCAAGAAUAUUAUAAUAUUUAUUGUAGUGGAUGCCAAUGAUCAUAUCAAUUUUUUUUUAUAAUAUUUGAAAGUAGGCUUUGAUUGUAUUAUAAGGAAUAGUUGUGGUCAAUUUAUUAGAGCAUUCUGUGGUUUAUGCAAGGGAAUUU